rnacentral:rRNA from 1 species
UAAACUUAAUUAAUAAAAUUAAACUUUUAACACCGGAUCUCUUGGUUCUGGCAUCGAUGAAGAACGCAGCGAAAUGCGAUAAGUAAUGUGAAUUGCAGAAUUCAGUGAAUCAUCGAAUCUUUGAACGCACAUUGCGCCCCCUGGUAUUCCGGGGGGCAUGCCUGUUCGAGCGUCAUUUCACCACUCAAGCCUCGCUUGGUAUUGGGCAACGCGGUCCGCCGCGUGCCUCAAAUCGUCCGGCUGGGUCUUCUGUCCCCUAAGCGUUGUGGAAACUAUUCGCUAAAGGGUGUUCGGGAGGCUACGCCGUAAAACAACCCCAUUUCUAAGGUUGACCUCGGAUCAGGUAGGGAUACCCGCUGAACUUAAGCAUA